GGCCCAGAUCGUUUACCGUGAAAAAAUUAGAGUGUUCAAAGCAGGCAGAUUUAACCUUCUGCCACCGAAUACAUUAGCAUGGGAUAAUGGAAUAGGACCCUGUCUUCUUGUUUUCCUCUUUGUGUUGGUUUUUGAGGACUAGGGUAAUGAUUAAUAGGGAUAGUUGGGGGCAUUAAUAUUUAAUUGUCAGAGGUGAAAUUCUUGGAUUUAUGAAAGAUUAACUUCUGCGAAAGCAUCUGCCAAGGAUGUUUUCAUUAAUCAAGAACGAAAGUUAGGGGAUCGAAGACGAUCAGAUACCGUCGUAGUCUUAACCAUAAACGAUGCCGACCAGCGAUUAGGAGACGUUGAAUACAAAACACCACCAUUAGACACGGCAGGAGUUUGUAUUAUUAGUGCUUUUUUCGGAAAGCAUUUCUAGUAUUGGUUCUUGUUUUUCUCUGAUGGCCCGGUGAAUGACUCCCCUAGCAGCUUGUGAGA
rnacentral:rRNA from 1 species